CUUGGGUAUGGAGACAUGUAUCCAAAGACAUGGUCAGGGAUGCUAGUGGGUGCUCUGUGUGCUUUAGCUGGGGUGCUGACCAUAGCCAUGCCUGUGCCUGUUAUUGUCAACAAC